UACGUAGGGUGCGAGCGUUAAUCGGAAUUACUGGGCGUAAAGCGUGCGCAGGCGGUUCUCCAAGUCCGUUGUGAAAGCCCCGGGCUCAACCUGGGAAUGGCAGUGGAAACUAGGGGACUGGAAUCUGGCAGAGGGGGGUGGAAUUCCUGGUGUAGCGGUGAAAUGCGCAGAUAUCAGGAGGAACACCGAUGGCGAAGGCAGGUCUCUGGGCCACUACUGACGCUGAGAAGCGAAAGCGUGGGGAGCGAACAGG
rnacentral:rRNA from 1 species